GAUGAACGCUGGCGGCGUGCCUAAUACAUGCAAGUCGAGCGAACGGACGAGAAGCUUGCUUCUCUGAUGUUAGCGGCGGACGGGUGAGUAACACGUGGAUAACCUACCUAUAAGACUGGGAUAACUUCGGGAAACCGGAGCUAAUACCGGAUAAUAUUUUGAACCGCAUGGUUCAAAAGUGAAAGACGGUCUUGCUGUCACUUAUAGAUGGAUCCGCGCUGCAUUAGCUAGUUGGUAAGGUAACGGCUUACCAAGGCAACGAUGCAUAGCCGACCUGAGAGGGUGAUCGGCCACAGUGGAGCUGAGACACGGUCCAGACUCCGACGGGAGGCAGCAGUAGGGAAUCUUCCGCACUGGGCGAAAGCCUGACGGAGCAACGCCGCGUGAGUGAUGAAGGGCUUCGGAUCGUAAAACGCUGUUAUUAGGGAAGAACAUAUGUGUAAGUAACUGUGCACAUCUGGACGGUACCUAAUCAGAAAACCACGGCUAACUACGU
rnacentral:rRNA from 1 species